AGGAAUUUUUGUGAAGUAAUAGAAGCGUCUUACUAUUCACUAUAAUUUGGAUAGUAUUGUGAGGCCCAUACAAAGAUCUCUACGUUGUAUAAUGGUACCAUAUCAAGUCUUCUUCUGAGCCGGAUGAGGGGGGGGGCGGGGGGGCUGACGAGUACAUCCUUGGAUCGGUCCGUUAAGUUAGAGAAUUAACCGUGCAUACUUCUUAGAGAAAGUCCUAUAACUUCACAUGGAUUAAUAAUACUUUAGUUACUCAAGUUAAUUAAUGGAUAAUUGAAUGUUGAUGAAACUAUAAGCAUUUUUUAAUUAAUUUUUGAUUACUUGGUGGGGUCAAAGUUUUAAUUUAUUCAAGUUACCAUAACUAAUGUUUAAUAUGGCUUUUGAAAUAUAAAUUACUAAAGCAACGUGUUACCACGCAUUGCCACAUGCGUUACCAUGUACUAAUUGUUUUAUAAUAUGGCUUUUCUAUUACGAACAGAACACAUUACCACGCGUUACCAUACGCGUUACCAUACGCGUUACCACGCGUUACCAUACGCGUUACCAUGUACUAAUUGUCUAUUUGGCUUUUCUAUUACUAAAACAAUGCAUUUCCAUGCGUUAUCUCGGAUAACCAUACGCGUUAACGCCUAGUAAUUCUAUUCAUUAUGGUAUUUUGUUGAUAAAGCAACGCGUUACCACGCGUUACCGUCAAGUUUUUAAUAAAAUGUAUAUAGUAGUUUUUUAAAUAAAAGAUGGUAACGCGUGGUAACGCGUGCGCAACUCAUGGUAACGCGUUGUUAGUCAUUACUUGCAUAUCGAUCUUGUAGUUUUGAACCAUUAGAAAUGAACUUUUAUUGCGGAAGUUUUAUUGUAGCAAUAAUAACUGUUUGAUAUUAGUGGUAACACGUAUGGUAACGCGUGGUAACGCGUGGUAACGCGUUGUUAAAAUUUGAAUUUGGAGCGAAAACAGGUAGCCAUGCAUAUACAUUAAUUAAACUAAUCCGAAUGGCUAAUUUCCAGUUUGAGAACGAGGUUGUUUACAUGUUGGCAUUGUUCUUGAAUUUACAUAGUACUUUAAAAUAGAAAAAUCUUGAUUUGUGAUGGUUGCAUGUUAUUCAUUCUUCAUUAUCGAUAUAUCUUUUUCGAAUCGAAGGCAAGCUUGCGAAGGAACGUUAGAUGCCUGUAAGGUAUGGAUUUUAACUUAACCCGGACAAACUAUCGCAUAAUAUAAUACUUGUAUAUCGGCAUGUAUACUAUGUAGUCCAAAUAUGUUAUGCAAAUUUUGUUCGUAUACAUUAACAUAAGCGCUGCCAAAGAAAAUAUUAUGCAGUAAAUAGCCAAAACCUGUGCUCGAUUUUCCCCAAUUUUCAGACAAUCGUCCACAAAAUAUUUGAGACAAACCCCCUCCCCCGAUUUCAAUGUUGUUAGGCACUACAAUAUAGUUUAAUUCCAACAUCAUAUGUUAAAUUUCAACUGCCAGUGACACAGCUGCGGUGCUAGUGCCAUCUUAUGUUCGUUUUGGAUAAGUACAGUAGGCUUCAACAUUGAAAUAAGGGGGGAGGGGAUUGAUUUAAAAAGUCUCAAUAUAUUUUGUGGAC
rnacentral:lncRNA from 1 species